GUUUUCCUUCUGGUCAUGUGAGGCAGAAUCACCACCCACUUACUACUUUUAUUUUUCUGUUUCUACUGAAAAUCUUCUUCAAUAUCUCCCAUUUUUCUCAGGUGUAAGCAGCAACCAAAAUGAUGUGAAGCUAAAUCAUUCUAAUAAAAGUUAAAGACUUAAAAAUAUGAUAGCAAAGAGAUUACUGUUAAAAGUAUAAACUAUUAACUAGAAAAAAAAAUAUAAACUACAAACUAUUAAAAUAUCCUUUUUUCCUCCCUGCGAAGCAUCAGUCAAAAGCUGACAGAAGAAGCCAAAUUAUUCUCCAAUGUCUAAAUUCACAGAUUAAAAAAAUCAAAAAGAACUUAGUAAUUCUUUUAAAUAAGAAACAGGAAGACAAGUUUUCCAUAAUGAUUAAUUGCAUUGCUUUUAAAUUCUGAUUCCAAGCUCAUCUGCCACAACUAAUCUUAGAUAGGAACACCAGAACACUGUGCUGAAAGAAUCCUCAAAAACUAAAGUAUGAUGGCAGGAGGAGGCUAUCUGCCAAAAUACUUUGAUUACUUCCAUGAAGGCGAAUUGAAUAUGGAUUUCCUCCUAUGGCUUUUCCUCCUAUUGCUGCAUGCAUGACAAGGAUUCUGCCACAUCAGCUACACCAGCUAUGUGUCUAUUAAUUUUCAACACCCCCGCAACCUUAUCUGUGGAGCUCUGUCACACAGUCCAAGACUCCAAGGAUUCCAUAUGUCUGUCAUUCAGCACGUGGCUCAGCACUGCUCCUUCACGCAGCUUCCUUCCUUCAUUGAACAGGAAGGAACCCAGCAAGAUUUACACCUGCCUGUCCUUCAUGAGACGGCAUACAUGCUACUCAAGAUUCUGAAACCUGCUCAUCUUCCUGUCUCUUGCUCUCUGCCUGCUAUUUUGAUGCCUCCUCAUUCCAAAAGUGUGA